rnacentral:SRP_RNA from 1 species
GCUGGGCCCUGUGGCAUGUGCCUGUAAUCUCUGCUGCCGAGGAGGCUGAGACGGGUGGAUUGCUUGAGCUCAGGUAUUCUGAAUAGGAGGGGGCUGGAGCCAAUCCAGGGUCCAUACUAAGUCAGGCACAGACCUGGCGAGCUCCUGGGAGCUGGAGGCCACCAGGUUGUCUUAGGAGAGGUGAGCCAGCCUAGGUCAGACAAGCAGAGGAGGCUAAAGCACUCAUUCUCAUAAUUAUUGAGAGUGGGCUGCACUUCCAACCUGGGCAAAAUAGGGAGACCCAGUCUUA